CUCCUCCUCCUCCUCCUCCAACGCUCCAAAAACGGGAGGCUUCUCUGGGUCCGAUUCGUCGUCUACCGGAUCGGGUCUAGCAGAUAUGGGGUCCGAGAACAAGGUUAACGGGAUUGAUUGGUACGAGAAUAACCAUUCAGACAGUCGGAAUCAGCCGCCGUCGCCGUCUUUGCAAAAUUGCCAAAGUCAACAAGAUUCCUAUCAUAAAUUGCUCACGCUGCCUACCAUUUUAACCCUCGGCCGUGUCGCUGCUGUGCCGCUUCUCGUUAGCACUUUUUAUGUGGAUAGUUGGUGGGGGAGAACUGCUACAACAAGUAUUUUCAUUGCUGCAGCAGUUACUGAUUGGCUUGAUGGAUACCUAGCCCGAAAGAUGAGGUUAGGCUCUGCCUUUGGUGCAUUUUUGGAUCCAGUUGCUGAUAAAACCUCUGGAAGUUGCAAUCUUUGGACAAUUACCAUGGCUACUGACUGUACCAUCAAUAGCCAUAAUUGGUCGGGAGAUAACCAUGUCUGCCGUCAGAGAAUGGGCUGCUUCACAGAAUAGUAAACUCUUGGAGGCUGUUGCUGUUAAUAACUUGGGGAAGUGGAA
rnacentral:misc_RNA from 1 species